rnacentral:rRNA from 1 species
AGAGUUUGAUCCUGGCUCAGGAUGAACGCUAGCGACAGGCUUAACACAUGCAAGUCGAGGGGCAGCGGGAUGUAGCAAUACAUUGCCGGCGACCGGCGCACGGGUGAGUAACGCGUAUGUAACCUGCCUUAUACAGGGGGAUAGCCCAUGGAAACGUGGAUUAAUAUCCCAUAGUACUGAGAGACCGCAUGGUUUUUCAGUUAAAGCUUCGGUGGUAUAAGAUGGACAUGCGUCCUAUUAGGUAGUUGGUAGGGUAACGGCCUACCAAGCCAAUGAUAGGUAGGGGUUCUGAGAGGAAGGUCCCCCACACUGGUACUGAGACACGGACCAGACUCCUACGGGAGGCAGCAGUGAGGAAUAUUGGUCAAUGGACGCAAGUCUGAACCAGCCAUGCCGCGUGCAGGAAGACGGCUCUAUGAGUUGUAAACUGCUUUUGUACGAGGGUAAACUCACCUACGUGUAGGUGACUGAAAGUAUCGUACGAAUAAGGAUCGGCUAACUCCGUGCCAGCAGCCGCGGUAAUACGGAGGAUCCAAGCGUUAUCCGGAUUUAUUGGGUUUAAAGGGUGCGUAGGCGGUUUGAUAAGUUAGAGGUGAAAUCCCGGGGCUUAACUCCGGAACUGCCUCUAAUACUGUUAGACUAGAGAGUAGUUGCGGUAGGCGGAAUGUAUGGUGUAGCGGUGAAAUGCUUAGAGAUCAUACAGAACACCGAUUGCGAAGGCAGCUUACCAAACUAUAUCUGACGUUGAGGCACGAAAGCGUGGGGAGCAAACAGGAUUAGAUACCCUGGUAGUCCACGCAGUAAACGAUGAUAACUCGUUGUCGGCGAUACACAGUCGGUGACUAAGCGAAAGCGAUAAGUUAUCCACCUGGGGAGUACGUUCGCAAGAAUGAAACUCAAAGGAAUUGACGGGGGCCCGCACAAGCGGAGGAACAUGUG